UUUGGAAGGCAUACCUUCAGCAUCUUAAGGCCGCGGUCCUGCUCUCCUCUUGAUCUGACGUUGUGGUGGCUCGACGAGAGCGUGGUUCCCCUACCUGGAGCUCAGACGUUCUCCUGCUCAGCAGCUGUGGUCACGGUGGUGCUACACUCCUGGAAGCUACACUCCUUGAUGCUUCGGAGACGUCAGAGGUGUGAACCGUGUGAUGUUCAUGGCCAGCCAUGGAUGAGCGAGCCAGCCGUUGAUCCAUCCUUUGAACUUGAAUAAAGCCUGUUCAGUUUCUAG